rnacentral:rRNA from 1 species
CGGCUUGGAAUAUAUUUUGAAUGGAUUUUUUUGUUUUGGCAAGAGCAUGAGAGCUUUUACUGGGCAAGAAGACAAGAGAUGGAGAGUCCAGCCGGGCCUGCGCUUAAGUGCGCGGUCUUGCUAGGCUUGUAAGUUUCUUUCUUGCUAUUCCAAACGGUGAGAGAUUUCUGUGCUUUUGUUAUAGGACAAUUAAAACCGUUUCAAUACAACACACUGUGGAGUUUUCAUAUCUUUGCAACUUUUUCUUUGGGCAUUCGAGCAAUCGGGGCCCAGAGGUAACAAACACAAACAAUUUUAUUUAUUCAUUAAAUUUUUGUCAAAAACAAGAAUUUUCGUAACUGGAAAUUUUAAAAUAUUAAAAACUUUCAACAACGGAUCUCUUGGUUCUCGCAUCGAUGAAGAACGCAGCGAAAUGCGAUACGUAAUGUGAAUUGCAGAAUUCCGUGAAUCAUCGAAUCUUUGAACGCACAUUGCGCCCCUUGGUAUUCCAGGGGGCAUGCCUGUUUGAGCGUCAUUUCCUUCUCAAACAUUCUGUUUGGUAGUGAGUGAUACUCUUUGGAGUUAACUUGAAAUUGCUGGCCUUUUCAUUGGAUGUUUUUUUUCCAAAGAGAGGUUUCUCUGCGUGCUUGAGGUAUAAUGCAAGUACGGUCGUUUUAGGUUUUACCAACUGCGGCUAAUCUUUUUUAUACUGAGCGUAUUGGAACGUUAUCGAUAAGAAGAGAGCGUCUAGGCGAACAAUGUUCUUAAAGUUUGACCUCAAAUCAGGUAGGAGUACCCGCUGAACUUAAGCAUAUCAAUAAACGGGGAGGGAA